CUCAAGUUGAAAGUCAUCGGCGUUAAGCGUGAUUAAAGUUCUCUUAGAUUAGGGCCAAAUUAAUAUUUAGUUGUUUAAAGCUUGUUAUUAAGAAGAACACAAACGAAAGUUGCCCUAACCCACACACUUGAAUACACGACAGCUGGGGGACAAACUGGGAUCAGAUACCCCACUAUGCCCAGCCGUAAACAAUUAAUCCACAACCAUAAGCGCCAGGGAAUUACGAGCCAAGCUUAAAACCCAAAGGAUUUGACGGUGUCCCACCCCCCUAGAGGAGCCUGUUCUAUAAUCGAUGAUCCCCGCUACACCCGACCAUUUCUUGCUUAUCAGUCUGUAUACCUCCGUCGAAAGCUUACCAUGUGAACGCCCCCACAGUAGGUUCAAUGAUCCCCGUCAAUACGUCAGGUCAAGGUGCAGCUUAAGAAAUGGGAAGCGAUGGGCUACAAUUUCUAACUUAGAACAAACGAAAGGCUAUGUGAAACCAUAGUCACGAAGGCGGAUUUAGUAGUAAAAAGAAAAUAGAGUGUUCUUUUUAACCUGGCUCUGGGACGCGUACACACCGCCCGUCACCCUCUUCGAUAGUGCUAACCCACAGUCUAUAACCUAUUUAUACGUCUGAGAAGAGGCAAGUCGUAACAUGGUAAGUGUACUGGAAAGUGCACUUGGUAUAUUA
rnacentral:rRNA from 1 species